CCUACGGGUGGCAGCAGUGAGGAAUAUUGGUCAAUGGACGAGAGUCUGAACCAGCCAAGUAGCGUGAAGGAUGACUGCCCUAUGGGUUGUAAACUUCUUUUAUAUGGGAAUAAAAUGUUCCACGUGUGGGUUUUUGUAUGUACCAUAUGAAUAAGGAUCGGCUAACUCCGUGCCAGCAGCCGCGGUAAUACGGAGGAUCCGAGCGUUAUCCGGAUUUAUUGGGUUUAAAGGGAGCGUAGGUGGAUUGUUAAGUCAGUUGUGAAAGUUUGCGGCUCAACCGUAAAAUUGCAGUUGAAACUGGCAGUCUUGAGUACAGUAGAGGUGGGUGGAAUUCGUGGUGUAGCGGUGAAAUGCUUAGAUAUCACGAAGAACUCCGAUUGCGAAGGCAGCUCACUGGACUGCAACUGACACUGAGGCUCGAAAGUGUGGGUAUCAAACAGGAGUAGAUACCCGAGUAGUC
rnacentral:rRNA from 1 species